GAUGAACGCUGGCGGCGUGCCUAAUACAUGCAAGUCGAGCGAACGGACGAGAAGCUUGCUUUUCUGAUGUUAGCGGCGGACGGGUGAGUAAUACGUGGCUAACCUACCUAUAAGACUGGGAUAACUUCGGGAAACCGGAGCUAAUACCGGAUAAUAUUUUGAACCGCAUGGUUCAAAAGUGAAAGACGGUCUUGCUGUCACUUAUAGAUGGAUCCAGGCUGCAUUAGCUAGUUGGUAAGGUAACGGCUUACCAAGGCAACGAUGCAUAGCCGACCUGAGAGGGUGAUCGGCCACACUGGAACUGAGACACGGUCCAGACUCCUACGGGAGGCAGCAGUAGGGAAUCUUCCGCAAUGGGCGAAAGCCUGACGGAGCAACGCCGCGUGAGUGAUGAAGGUCUUCGGAUCGUAAAACUCUGUUAUUAGGGAAGAACAUAUGUGUAAGUAACUGUGCACAUCUUGACGUUACCUAAUCAGAAAGCCACGGCUAACUACGUG
rnacentral:rRNA from 1 species